AUUGAACGCUGGCGGCAGGCCUAACACAUGCAAGUCGAGCGGAAGGGGCUUCGGCCCCGAGAGCGGCGGACGGGUGAGGAUAGCGUGGGAAUCUGCCUGUAGAUGGGGGAUAGCCCGGAGAAAUCCGGAUUAAUACCGCAUAAUACCUGAGGGUUAAAGUGGAGGAUCGCAAGACUUCACGUCUACAGAUGAGCCCACGUCAGAUUAGCUAGUUGGUAGGGUAAAGGCCUACCAAGGCGACGAUCUGUAGCUGGCCUGAGAGGGUGGCCAGCCACACUGGAACUGAGACACGGUCCAGACUCCUACGGGAGGCAGCAGUGGGGAAUAUUGGACAAUGGGCGCAAGCCUGAUCCAGCCAUGCCGCGUGUGUGAAGAAGGCCUUCGGGUUGUAAAGCACUUUAAGUUGGGAGGAAGGUUCCAAGGCUAAUACCUUUGGGAAUUGACGUUACCGACAGAAUAAGCACCGGCUAAUUCCGUGCCAGCAGCCGCCGCGG
rnacentral:rRNA from 1 species